rnacentral:rRNA from 1 species
CUCCUACGGGACGCAGCAGUGGGGAAUUUUGGACAAUGGGCGCAAGCCUGAUCCAGCAAUGCCGCGUGAGUGAAGAAGGCCUUCGGGUUGUAAAGCUCUUUUGUCAGGGAAGAAACGGGUGGGGCUAAUAUCCUCAUCUAAUGACGGUACCUGAAGAAUAAGCACCGGCUAACUACGUGCCAGCAGCCGCGGUAAUACGUAGGGUGCAAGCGUUAAUCGGAAUUACUGGGCGUAAAGCGUGCGCAGGCGGUUUUGUAAGUCUGUCGUGAAAUCCCCGGGCUUAACCUGGGAAUGGCGAUGGAGACUGCAAGGCUAGAAUCUGGCAGAGGGGGGUAGAAUUCCACGUGUAGCAGUGAAAUGCGUAGAGAUGUGGAGGAACCCCGAUGGCGAAGGCAGCCCCCUGGGUCAAGAUUGACGCUCAUGCACGAAAGCGUGGGGAGCAAACAGGAUUAGAUACCCUGGUAGUCCACGCCCUAAACGAUGUCUACUAGUUGUCGGGUCUUAAUUGACUUGGUAACGCAGCUAACGCGUGAAGUAGACCGCCUGGGAUACUCAAUGCC